rnacentral:lncRNA from 1 species
GGGAACAUCUGUGCUUUCUGAAUUGCUGUUCUUAGAUUCUUCCUUAUCCGGAGUCACCUAGGAAAAAGCCCGGAUCAUGUCUGAAGAUCUUGCAGUAAUCUGUUUGAACUUUGUCCAUAACUGCAAGGUCAUACCAUCCUAAGAAUUAAGAUGCUAUAUGCAAGUAGAGCCAUGUAUGUCCAAAACAUUGAGUUUUGAGGAUCACGAUAUUGUUGAUACUGUUAAGAGGGGUGACAAUCUUCGAUAUGAAAGAUCACUUUCAAUCUACUCCUAUAAGUAGAACACUUCAUUUUUUUUGUUGGUCUUGGG